AGCUUUAGGCAUAUAUCUAAGGUUAAACCUGCCCAAUGUGUAAUCUAUUAAUGGCCGCGGUACUUUGACCGUGCUAAGGUAGCGCAAUCAGUUGGCUCUUAAUUGGGGUCAGGAAUGAAUGGAGUUACGGGGCUUAGCUGUCUCCUAGUUAUUUAAUUGAAGUUACUAUGUAGGUGAAAAAGCCUAUAAGUAGAAAAAGGACGAGAAGACCCUUAGAGUUUUACUUAUUAUGAUUGAUUUUUUUUCUCACGAUGGUUUAGUUGGGGCAACAUAGGAGCAUAUAAACCUCCUGAAAAUAUAUUAACCGACAUUUGUAAAUGUGAAUAAACUACCUUAGGGAUAACAGCAUAAUGUUUAAAAAAAGUUUGUGACCUCGAUGUUGGACUAGGAAACUAAAAGGCUAGCCGUCUUUUAGGUAAGUUCUGUUCGAACUAUAGAUUCCU
rnacentral:rRNA from 1 species